rnacentral:lncRNA from 10 species
GUGUUUGGAGUUAUUCGUUUCUCCCGGUGGGUCCGUGAUGUGGCUGGCUUUAAGAACGAAGCUGCAGACCUUCACGAGAGCACAGUGAUCUUCCUUACAAGCGGGAUUCCCGAGAGGAAAAUGUUUGUAAUCAGAUUUGACUCUAGGAUUAAGAGGGCAAGGUGCGACCCUCUUAGUGAACCGGAAAGUAAGCAACGGUACACAAGUGUUCUCACCAGGGACAGCAAAUGGGAGUUGCCAAGAUUACAAGAUCCCAAGACCU